UACGAAGGGGACUAGCGUUGUUCGGAAUCACUGGGCGUAAAGCGCACGUAGGCGGAUAUGUCAGUCAGGGGUGAAAUCCCGGGGCUCAACCUCGGAACUGCCCUUGAUACAGCAUAUCUUGAGUCCGAUAGAGGUGGGUGGAAUUCCUAGUGUAGAGGUGAAAUUCGUAGAUAUUAGGAAGAACACCGGUGGCGAAGGCGGCCCACUGGAUCGGUACUGACGCUGAGGUGCGAAAGCGUGGGGAGCAAACGGG
rnacentral:rRNA from 1 species